ensembl:lncRNA
AAGAGAGAAGAUGAACUGGAGAUUUGCUCUGUAACACUUAACUAACACUGACUACAUUUAAUGUGAGAACUACACUCCAUUCAGCCAAUAAUUAUCAUUGUGAGUUAGACUAACUAAUAGUUAACCGUAUAUGACAGUGACAGUUAUUUAGUCGGUGUUGAGUUACAGUUCAGAGAACUAUUAGGAGGACCUAGCAACCGCUUAGCUCUGAAUGCUAACUGGGCUCCAGCUAGCCUAGCAUUAGGUCGUUGGACAAGGGUGGCUUAUUCGGCAACCUACACAUCACAGCGUCCCUACUGCCCAGAAAACCCCAACGAGAAAGAGACAGCGGAGUCUAGGCAGUGGACAACUCUGGUCGGCAUCGUGGUGUGUGUUGAGGUCACGGGCUGUAUGAAGUCCUCGCUGUGAGACCGGUCUAACAGCAUAGGAGAUACUGAGAGUCUGGAGCCUAAACACUCUACCUGUGACAGGUAAGAGUGUGUGUACAGAUAAGAGUGUGUGACAUGUAAGAGUGUGUGUACAGGUAAGAGUGUGUGACAGGUAAGAGUGUUUGAAAGGUAAGAGUGUGUGACAGGU